rnacentral:rRNA from 1 species
CAGCAGCCGCGGGAACACGAAGGGGGCUAGCGUUGUUCGGAUUUACUGGGCGUAAAGGGCGCGUAGGCGGGCGAAUCAGUCAGGGGUGAAAUCCCAAGGCUCAACCUUGGAACUGCCUUUGAUACGGUUUGUCUUGAGUUCGAGAGAGGUAAGUGGAACUGCGAGUGUAGAGGUGAAAUUCGUAGAUAUUCGCAAGAACACCAGUGGCGAAGGCGGCUUACUGGCUCGAAACUGACGCUGAGGCGCGAAAGCGUGGGGAGCAAACAGGAUUAGAUACCCCUGUAGUCCCUGUCUCUUAUAC